UACGUAGGUGGCGAGCGUUGUCCGGAUUUACUGGGUGUAAAGGGCGUGUAGGCGGGAAUGCAAGUCAGAUGUGAAACUCCGGGGCUUAACUCCGGAACUGCAUCUGAAACUGUGUUUCUUGAGUGCUGGAGAGGAUAGUGGAAUUCCUAGUGUAGCGGUGAAAUGCGUAGAUAUUAGGAGGAACACCAGUGGCGAAGGCGGCUAUCUGGACAGUAACUGACGCUGAGGCGCGAAAGCGUGGGGAGCAAACAGGAUUAGAUACCCUGGUAGUCCACGCUGUAAACGAUGGAUACUAGGUGUAGGAGGUAUCGACCCCUUCUGUGCCGCAGUUAACACAAUAAGUAUCCCACCUGGGGAGUACGGCCGCAAGGUUGAA
rnacentral:rRNA from 1 species